GACCGGGCCCUGUGCGACAGGAGCCUUCGAACCCCGCCAGGUCCGGAAGGAAGCAACGGUAAGGAGGUCCUCCUGGGUGCCGCAGAUCAGCCUGGUCUUC
rnacentral:SRP_RNA from 1 species